UGGUUCUGGCAUCGAUGAAGAACGCAGCGAAAUGCGAUAAGUAAUGCGAAUUGCAGAAUUCAGUGAGUCAUCGAAUCUUUGAACGCACAUUGCGCCCUUUGGUAUUCCGAAGGGCAUGCCUGUUCGAGCGUCAUUAUCAACCCUCAAGCUUGGCUUGCUGUUGGACCGUCGUCUUCACAGACGGGUCUCAAAGACAAUGACGGAGUCGGUUGGACCCUAGAUGCAACGAGCUCCUGUAGCACGCAUUGAAAGGGACGGCGGUUCCGGUCUUAACCCCAUAAUUUUUUUUACAAGGUUGACCUCGGAUCAGGUAGGAAUACCCGCUGA
rnacentral:misc_RNA from 1 species